UGCAGAAUAACUAUGGAUGCUGGAUCGGUUUGUAUAAACCUGUACACAGGAAAUGGAUCAACGAAAAAGCGGCUCUGAAAUACAAUGGCUACAUUUAUGGCACUGAUACAUUUCCAGACACUUGGUGUCUUACUAUAUACAAACGGAGCAACGGAAGCACGCGCUUAUUCUGGAUAGCAUGUGACUCAGACCAAAGAUGGAUAUGCGGAAAUGUUAAAGAAAGUACAACUUCAACAAAAGUUACGCCAACGUCAUCAUCAAGUUACCCAUCAUCAGCAUCCACUCUGUCCGAAGAUGUUUCCACUGUGCCGGGUAACCACUCUAGCAACAGGUCAUCGCCAGCAGGUACUUCUGAUGCAAAGAAAACUCCGUACGAUCCUCAGACUGAUGCAGGUGGCUUCAUAGGACUUGGUGUUGGAAGCGUGGUCCUUGUUGUUCUUGCAGUCCUUAUUGUAGUCUUCCUGCUG